GGAAGGUAGCUUGCUACUGGACCUAGCGGCGGACGGGUGAGUAAUGCUUAGGAAUCUGCCUAUUAGUGGGGGACAACAUCUCGAAAGGGAUGCUAAUACCGCAUACGUCCUACGGGAGAAAGCAGGGGAUCUUCGGACCUUGCGCUAAUAGAUGAGCCUAAGUCGGAUUAGCUAGUUGGUGGGGUAAAGGCCUACCAAGGCGACGAUCUGUAGCGGGUCUGAGAGGAUGAUCCGCCACACUGGGACUGAGACACGGCCCAGACUCCUACGGGAGGCAGCAGUGGGGAAUAUUGGACAAUGGGGGGAACCCUGAUCCAGCCAUGCCGCGUGUGUGAAGAAGGCCUUAUGGUUGUAAAGCACUUUAAGCGAGGAGGAGGCUACUUUAGUUAAUACCUAGAGAUAGUGGACGUUACUCGCAGAAUAAGCACCGGCUAACUCUGUGCCAGCAGCCGCGGUAAUACAGAGGGUGCGAGCGUUAAUCGGAUUUACUGGGCGUAAAGCGUGCGUAGGCGGCUUAUUAAGUCGGAUGUGAAAUCCCCGAGCUUAACUUGGGAAUUGCAUUCGAUACUGGUGAGCUAGAGUAUGGGAGAGGAUGGUAGAAUUCCAGGUGUAGCGGUGAAAUGCGUAGAGAUCUGGAGGAAUACCGAUGGCGAAGGCAGCCAUCUGGCCUAAUACUGACGCUGAGGUACGAAAGCAUGGGGAGCAAACAGGAUUAGAUACCCUGGUAGUCCAUGCCGUAAACGAUGUCUACUAGCCGUUGGGGCCUUUGAGGCUUUAGUGGCGCAGCUAACGCGAUAAGU
rnacentral:rRNA from 1 species